AUUGAACGCUGGCGGCAGGCCUAACACAUGCAAGUCGAGCGGAGCGGCGGGCGGGUGAGUAAUGCCUAGGUAUCUGCCUGGUCGUUGGGGAUAACGUCCGGAAACGGGCGCUAAUUCAGCAUACUAUCAGAUGAGUCUAGGUCGGAUUAGCUAGUUGGUGGGGUAAAGGCCUACAAAGGCGAAGAUCCGUACCUGGUCUGAGAGGAUGAUCAGUCACACUGUGACUGAGACACGGUCCAGACUCCUACGGGAGGCAGCAGUGGGGAAUAUUGGACAAUGGGCGAAAGCCUGAUCCAGCCAUGCCGCGUGUGUGAAGAAGGUCUUCGGGUUGUAAAGCACUUUAAGUUGGGAGGCGUUACCAACAGAAGAAGCACCGGCUAACUUCGUGCCAGCAGCCGCGGUAAUUC
rnacentral:rRNA from 1 species